rnacentral:rRNA from 1 species
UACCUACGGGAGGCUGCAGUGAGGAAUUUUGCGCAAUGGGCGAAAGCCUGACGCAGCAACGCCGCGUGACUGAUUAAGCUCUGAGGAGUGUAAAAGUCUGUCGUAGAGGAAGAAACUAUCCGAUAAGAAUAUUUUCGGAUACUGACGGUACUCUGUGAGAAAGCUCCGGCUAACUCCGUGCCAGCAGCCGCGGUAAUACGGGGGGAGCAAGCGUUGUCCGGAAUCACUGGGCGUAAAGAGCGCGUAGGCGUCUUAAUAAGUUUCUGGUGAAAUACUCCUGCUCAACGGGAGAAUUGCUGGAGAUACUGUUAGGAUUGAGUUUAGAAGAGGGAAGUGGAAUUCCUGGUGUAGCGGUGAAAUGCGUAGAUAUCAGGAAGAACACCAAUGGCGAAGGCAGCUUCCUGGUCUAACACUGACGCUGUGGCGCGAAAGCGUGGGGAGCAAACAGGAUUAGAUACCCCAGUAGUCG